UCUCCAGUUCACAGGCAACUCAGGUUCUGAGAGAUAAGGUCACUUGUCCAAGAUGGUAACAGCUAGAAAGCAGCAAUGCUGAGAGCCACGCCCACAGACUCUGGAAUCUUCUUUCUCCAGAUUCUUUCACUCUGCAAUGGUAUGUGCACAGUCCAGCCUCUUCUACACAGCGGGUGCCCUCGGAUCUAGGAAGCUGGCUGGUAUAAGAUGGACCAAUAAUUUAGUGGCCACCAAGGAAGGAAGAACACUGCCAACUGUGACGGGGAAGGCACUGGUUUCAGACGUGCUAAAAUGCAAAAAGUGCACACUUUAGAGUUUAUGAAAUACAGGACGUUCUCAUCCAGACAGCACCGUGAGGUACGCCCAGAACCUUCCACAGUGCCUAGAACAGGAGACACUCAGAGGAAAUGUCCUUUAAGGCCAGGAGAAGGAAGGAGCAAAGCAGGACUGGUUUUAUGCUUCCCUCAGCAGAGGCCAGGACCUACGCAACCUGCAGCCCCUGGAGCUGAACAGCUUUACUGAGAUAGCAUUGGUAUGGGAUAACCUGCCUGUAAUUUGAAAUGCCUAAUGAGCCAAGCUUUGACGUAUGUAGACACCCCGAGACCAUCACCACAAUCAAGAUAAUGAAUCUAUUCAUGGUCCCCAAAGGGAUGAGUGGAUUUUGACCUACAGUCUCGAACACAAGUUACCAGAGCCACUGCCAAUUGGAGCAACAGAGAUGAAAACAGCUAAGCGGAACCCACUGCCUACCGGAUCCACGCACCGCGUUUUUGCAUUUUACACGCAUUAUCCCACCUGGAAAGCUCUAGGCGGGGUGCUCACAUCCACGACGUUAUCCCCAAGGCAUAAGGUUGUGAGGCUAACGAGUGCCACAUAACCCAAGUCCAAAUCCCAGCUCUGCCUCUUCCCAGAUGUGGGGCCUUGAGUGCUUUCCUUUACCUGUCUGUGCCCUUCUGUCGCCUGAAGAUAAAAAAAUACCUUCAAUUGUG